rnacentral:lncRNA from 1 species
CUGCAUAGCACGAGCCUUGUUUUGUAGGAAUAAGUGUCUUUUUCUCACUGAAGGGAAUAGUUUGACGUCCUAAAGGUUGGUUUUCUUUGGGACUGAUGCCAGGAGUGGAGGAAAGGCAAGUUUUUCCUUCACCCUCUCUCUGCUGAUAGACACAUGGACGGUCACACGAGUAGAGUGAAGGGCGCAGAGGAGGGGUGUUUUUCAGCCCGUUUUGCCCGGAAUAAUCUAAACAUUGCUCAGCUGGGUGGGGAGAAGAGCAGAGCUGCCGUGGGGCCGUGGCCGAGGAGCGGCAGCCACAGGAGCAAGACUCUCCAUGUGUUUAGUCUUCUCGAAAGAACAUGCCAGAUGUUAGAAUGCAGGCAGAGCUCCCAGAGGCUGGAGGACAAUGGUGGGGGUGAGGCAGAGCCGCCUCUGCCGUGUUGUGUCUGCGCUCCCAUCACAUCCCAUUACUGUCUCCAGUGCAGAUGGCACUUUGAACCACUCCACACGCCCACAGCCAACCAG